GACGAACGCUGGCGGCGUGCUUAACACAUGCAAGUCGAACGGAAAGGCCCUGCUUUUGUGGGGUGCUCGAGUAGCGAACGGGUGAGUAACACGUGAGUAACCUGCCCUUGACUUUGGGAUAACUUCAGGAAACUGGGGCUAAUACCGGAUAGGAGCUCCUGCUGCAUGGUGGGGGUUGGAAAGUUUCGGCGGUUGGGGAUGGACUCGCGGCUUAUCAGCUGGUUGGUGGGGUAGUGGCUUACCAAGGCUUUGACGGGUAGCCGGCCUGAGAGGGUGACCGGCCACAUUGGGCCUGCGAUACGGCCCAGACUCCUACGGGAGGCAGCAGUGGGGAAUAUUGCACAAUGGGCGGAAGCCUGAUGCAGCAACGCCGCGUGCGGGAUGACGGCCUUCGGGUUGUAAACCGCUUUCGCCUGUGACGAAGCGUGAGUGACGGUAAUGGGUAAAGAAGCACCGGCUAACUACGUG
rnacentral:rRNA from 1 species